rnacentral:rRNA from 1 species
AUUGAACGCUGGCGGCGUGCCUAAUACAUGCAAGUCGAACGCAGUGGGGACGGGUGAGUAACACGUGGGUAACCUCACAUAAGAGGGGAUAACACUUGGAAACAGGUGCUAAACCGACACUGAUGGAUGGAACGGCGGUGCAUUAGCUAGUUGGGGGGGGAACGGCGUACCAAGGCCACGAGGCGUACACGACGUGUGAGGUUGAUCGGCCACACUGGGACGGAAACACGGCCCAGACUCCUACGGGAGGCCGCAGUAGGGAAUCUUCGGCAAUGGAGGAAAGUCUGACCGAGCAACGCCGCGUGAGUGACGAAGGUUUGCGGAUCGUAAAACUCUGUUGUUAGAGAAGCGGUAUCUACACAGAAAGCCACGGCUAACUACGUGCCAGCAGCCGCGGUAAUUC